rnacentral:rRNA from 1 species
CCUACGGGGGGCAGCAGUGAGGAAUAUUGGUCAAUGGGCGGGAGCCUGAACCAGCCAAGUCGCGUGAGGGAAGACGGUCCUACGGAUUGUAAACCUCUUUUGCCGGGGAGCAACGGGGUACUUGCGAGGGCCAGUUGAGAGUACCUGGAGAAAAAGCAUCGGCUAACUCCGUGCCAGCAGCCGCGGUAAUACGGAGGUUGCGAGCGUUAUCCGGAUUUAUUGGGUUUAAAGGGUGCGUAGGCGGGCUGUUAAGUCAGCGGUAAAAUGUCGGGGCUCAACCCCGGCCUGCCGUUGAAACUGGCGGCCUCGAGUGGGCGAGAGGUAUGCGGAAUGCGUGGUGUAGCGGUGAAAUGCAUAGAUAUCACGCAGAACUCUGAUUGCGAAGGCAGCAUACCGGCGCCCGACUGACGCUGAGGCACGAAAGCGUGGGUAUCGAACAGGAUUAGAUACCCUAGUAGUC